GUGGGGAAUUUUGGACAAUGGGCGCAAGCCUGAUCCAGCAAUGCCGCGUGCAGGAAGAAGGCCUUCGGGUUGUAAACUGCUUUUGUACGGAACGAAACGGUCCUGGUUAAUACCUGGGGCUAAUGACGGUACCGUAAGAAUAAGCACCGGCUAACUACGUGCCAGCAGCCGCGGUAAUACGUAGGGUGCGAGCGUUAAUCGGAAUUACUGGGCGUAAAGCGUGCGCAGGCGGUGCUGUAAGACAGGCGUGAAAUCCCCGGGCUAAACCUGGGAAUUGCGCUUGUGACUGCAGUGCUGGAGUACUGCAGAGGGGGAUGGAAUUCCGCGUGUAGCAGUGAAAUGCGUAGAUAUGCGGAGGAACACCGAUGGCGAAGGCAGUCCCCUGGGCCUGUACUGACGCUCAUGCACGAAAGCGUGGGGAGCAAACAGGAUUAGAUACCCCUGUAGUCC
rnacentral:rRNA from 1 species